rnacentral:lncRNA from 1 species
AUGUGACACAUUCACAGGUGUGACAUCAUGGGCCAGGAUUAGGGAAGGGGAGCUACAUUCUGCUGCCACAUAGUUUAUGACCACUCACUGACAUGCAGUUCAUACAAUUGGAAUUUUUAAUCACACUUUUUGAGUGGCCUAUGUAGGAGGCACUGUUCUUAGCAAUGGAAAUGUGAAUUGUAUAGAUAAGUCCCAUCAAGAAAUAAAUACCCAAUAAUUACAAAGGUUUGUGAAAUGUGUUUUGAAGACAAAGAAGUAAUAAAGAAAGGUGUUGGGAGGUGGUCUUAGCAAGUGUCGUAGAGUAGAGGCCCCUGUGGAGUAAAGAGGCGUCCACCGUGAGGCUCGGAGCAGCCAGUGCACAGGGCUCAGCGAGGCUUCCCAGCGUCCAUCCAGAAACACUCAGCGCAGAGGUGAGUGUUGAGAUCCAGGGUCUGAAUCAGGAAGGCUAAAGUUAAGUUUGGAGGGCCCAGUGAGGAGUUCUGAUGUCAUUGAAAGAUUUUCAGCAGGAAGGGACACUACUGGGUUCAUGCUCUGGUACUGAGUGGCCAGUGGUUGGCCAGUAGAGCACAGGCAGAUACAGGGAGGCACCCAGGAGGACUGGCUGUGCAGAGAGAUGGUGACUGUGGCCCUUGGCCCUCCUGCCUUGACAUGACCCUUUAAAGCAUGCAAGGCUCUCUGCGUGAAGACAGUCCUGCCCACACUGCACCUUCCAACUGACUGUCUCUCUCUCCUGUUUCCAGGUCAAAACUCACUCUGUGACCCCCUGAGGCUGAUCUCACCUCCCUCCUGAGGCCAUCUUGCCACAGUGCUCCUGGCCACCUCCUGCAGGGGCACUCCUGGUGAGUCCCAUGAGCAGUGAGCUCAGAGGCACCUGAUAACCUCCAGGAGGCCUCCAGGUGCUGGGACCAGUCCAUGCCAGAGCUUCAGGACACUGCAGCCUUCAGGGGCCAGUCCUGGGCUCCCUCCCCAGUGUGACGUGUGUCUGUCCUUCCUGGCCCUCCUCACAGAGCACAGACGUUCCUGCCGACUCUGAUCUGCAGAGCUGCUGUCCACCUGCAGAGAGCCCCUCACCACAGGUGAGCUGCGAGCUGGCACAGAGCUUUGAAGGAGGGGCCAGCACCCAGACAGGGGCUAGGCUCCCUGGAGCGAGGCAAGGGCAGGGUUCUGGUGGACAUGCUCUCUGCUGUUAAACAACUGUGUGUAUGUCUCCACGUGUGAGACUGCAUUACUGUGAAGUCCGUGGUGUGUCUGUGGUGCGUGUGGUGUGUACGCUGUGUAUGUGCCGUGUGCAUGUGUGCAUGGUAUAUAAUGUGUGUGUGUGUCCGUGUGCUGGGUGUGUAUAAUAUUGCAUGUGGCGUGUGUAACACGGUAUGUCGUAUGUAACAUGGAGUGUGGAAUGUGGUGUCCAACUGGCAUGUCUGGUGUGGAACAUGGUGUAUGGUGUACACAUAUUAUGGCAUGCGGUGUGCAGCAUGCAUAUGGUGUGUUACAGAGUGUGUUCAGUAACAUGACGGGUGGUGUGUAACAUGACAUAUGGUGCACAUGUGUCAUGGCGUGUGGUGUGCAGAAUGUAUGUGGUGUGUAAUAUGGCGUGUGGUGUGAAGUGUGGCUUAUGGGGUGCACCCAGUAGUGUGUGGUGUACAGCGUGGCCUGUGGGGUAUAAUAUGUCGUGUGGUGUGCAGCAUGGCCUGUGGGGUACGGCAUGGUCUGUGGGGUGCAGCGUGGUCUGUGGGGUACAGCGUGGCCUGUGGAGUACAGCAUGUGGCCUGUGGCGUGCAGCAGGUGGCCUGUGGCAUGCAGCAUGGCCUGUGGUGUGCAGCGUGGCCUGUGGGGUGCAGUGUGGCCUGUGGUGUGCAACGUGACCUGUGGUGUGUAGCGUGAUCUGUGGAAUGCAGUGUGUGGCCUGUGGGGUGCAGCGUGUGGCCUGUGGGGUGCAGCGUGGUCUGUGGGGUGCAGCAUGUGGCAUGUGGUAUGCAGUGUGACCUGUGGGGUGCAGUAGGUGGUGUGUGGUGUGCAGUGUGGCCUGUGGGGUACAGUAGGUAGUGUGUGGAUGCAGCGUGGUCUUUGGGGUACAGUGUGGCCUGUGGUGUGCAGC